GAUGAACGCUGGCGGCGUGCCUAAUACAUGCAAGUCGAGCGAACGGACGAGAAGCUUGCUUCUCUGAUGUUAGCGGCGGACGGGUGAGUAACACGUGGAUAACCUACCUAUAAGACUGGGAUAACUUCGGGAAACCGGAGCUAAUACCGGAUAAUAUUUUGAACCGCAUGGUCCAAAAGUGAAAGACGGUCUUGCUGUCACUUAUAGAUGGAUCCGCGCUGCAUUAGCUAGUUGGUAAGGUAACGGCUUACCAAGGCAACGAUGCAUAGCCGACCUGAGAGGGUGAUCGGCCACACUGGAACUGAGACACGGUCCAGACUCCAACGGGAGGCAGCAGUAGGGAAUCUUCCGCAAUGGGCGAAAGCCUGACGGAGCAACGCCGCGUGAGUGAUGAAGGUCUUCGGAUAGUAAAACUCUGUUAUUAGGGAAGAACAUAUGUGUAAGUAACUGUGCACAUCUUGACGGUACCUAAUCAGAAAGCCACGGCUAACUACGUG
rnacentral:rRNA from 1 species